AGUUGUAAUUGUAGAUCGGAUCGCGAAACGAGUCUGAAACCUAAUUUUGAUCACAUAAAAGUAGUUAAUUAUAUUUAAUAUUUUCUACCAUCAUGCAUUAACAAAUGGUGGGGUGUGUUAGAUUUAUGAGACAAAAUAGUAAAAGGUUUGAGUAUAUGACAAAAAGAAAAUGUAAUAAAAGAACAUAUUACAUUAAGUUGAUCACAAUCUCAACGCCCUCUCUCUCACUCGAAACUCUUUUCUCUCUUUUCUCUCCAGCCAGCGCACUUCCUUCUCACUCAAAGAAGUUUCUCUUCUUCAUGUAUUCUCUCAUUUCCUUCAACCACCACGUCCUUAGUCAUAUGAUUCUCUAUUCUUUAGCUACCUCUUCCCCACCUUCCCUUGACGAAAAUUCUUGCAUAAUUCAUAAUUAGAAGAAUUUCCUCCCAAGGUACUCGUGCUAACCCUUUUGAUCACAUACUUUCUUUUGAUCACAUACGUAUUUAUUUGACCCAUUUGAAUGUUCUACAUCCAUCAUGAUUUUUUUUGUUUUACGGUAUGCAAUCUAAAAUCAUGUGUUCUCCAUCCAUUCGCUACUGAUUUAAUCA